rnacentral:rRNA from 1 species
GACGAACGCUGGCGGCGUGCUUAACACAUGCAAGUCGAACGGAAAGGCCCUGCUUUUGUGGGGUGCUCGAGUGGCGAACGGGUGGGUAACACGUGAGUAACCUGCCCUUGACUUUGGGAUAACUUCAGGAAACUGGGGCUAAUACCGGAUAGGAGCUCCUGCUGCAUGGUGGGGGUUGGAAAGUUUCGGCGGUUGGGGAUGGACUCGCGGCUUAUCAGCUUGUUUGUGGGGUAGUGGCUUACCAAGGCUUUGACGGGUAGCCGGCCUGAGAGGGUGACCGGCCACAUUGGGACUGAGAUACGGCCCAGACUCCUACGGGAGGCAGCAGUGGGGAAUAUUGCACAAUGGGCGGAAGCCUGAUGCAGCAACGCCGCGUGCGGGAUGACGGCCUUCGGGUUGUAAACCGCUUUCGCCUGUGACGAAGCGUGAGUGACGGUAAUGGGUAAAGAAGCACCGGCUAACUACGUG